ACGCUCGACACCUACGGGAGGCAGCAGUCGGGAAUAUUGCGCAAUGGAGGAAACUCUGACGCAGUGACGCCGCGUAUAGGAAGAAGGUUUUCGGAUUGUAAACUAUUGUCGUUAGGGAAGAAAAAAGACAGUACCUAAGGAGGAAGCUCCGGCUAACUACGUGUCAGCAGCCGCGGUAAUCUGAGCGGGCUGGCAAGGC
rnacentral:rRNA from 1 species